GACUUAGCUCCAAACAUGCCUUAUAGAAGGUCGAGGUAGAAGUGUCAUGGGCUUCAUCUGAGAUAUCAAGAGGAGCCUGAUGCCAUGGCAAUUGGUCCACUCUCCCUCCAUCCAGAGUCUGAGGAGAGGUUUGUUAGACCUGUGUGAUACUAACUUUCAGGAGAGCAGAGACUAUGGUGGUGAUUUCCUUCCUCCUGCUUCAUAUGCUCUCUAGCUUGGGACCUCAGGGAUAAAUGCUCUUUCUAGAAAGAGGCUGCACAGGCAGAUGUGCCACACACAGGAUCAGCCACUUGACUGGACAGUUCUUUCUUAGACUUCUGUGAGCGAUGCCAAAAGAUCUGGGGCAGCUGGGCCACGUUAACAGGGUUGGUUUUAUCAUGUUCCUGACCUAGUUUACGAGGCCGACCUGUUCUGGGUUUAACUAGAUGAAGGGUCUCUCAAUUCCCGGAGCUGUUUUCCCUAGAGCAGCUCAACUAGGCUGCUUUUUAAUGUAGGGAGUUUCUCCAAAUGGACCUUGGAGAAAAGCAUGAGAAUCAACAGUCACCUGCAUUGCUUAAGGAACUUUGUAUGUGUGUAUGUGUGUAUGUGUGUAAGAGGACACUCCCAAGAAUGGUCUAGACAUCCAUCCUUCAACAUGGAUAGUGCAUGAGGCUUUGCUUAAGAGGUCGGAUGAAGCCUAAAACCAUGAGGAAAUGGAAUUCUGAGUGCUUGACUAGGGUCUUAGAGGAUCCCAAGUACAUGAAAUUGUAUAUAUAUUAACCAGAAGGUCUCAAAACCUGAGACAGAGGGCCAUAUUUCCAUUGGAUAGAUGGAGGCCAUUAAAAUUCUGUCUACGCUCCCCACCCCACAGUUACCUAGCAAUAGCCAGGUAUGCCCCUCCCCACAAUUACCUGGCAACAGCCAGGUAGGCCUGGCCCACUAUAAAAGGGGAUGCUUGGCCCCUCUUCUCUCUCUUACAUCUCUUAUUCUCUCAUUCUCUUAGCUUCCCUCUUGUCCCCUCUUGGGCUCUCCUCCCCCUCCCCUCUCUCCACUUCUCUACUCUUCCUUUCUCUGCCUUUCUCUGCCUCUACUACCCCUUUUAACUCCCCUCCCCAUGUCCUGAAUAAACUCUACUCUCUAUAUACCGUCAGUGUGUUUGGUCUCUCAGGGGAAAGGGAUGCCUCGGCAUGGGCCCGCUGAAGCACCUCCUUCCCCCACACCACCAUAGAACAUAUUCUCACACCUAGUUUUCUUUUUACGAUCACAGCAGAGGUAGUCAUAAAGAUCUAGGCUGCAAGAUCUUGUCUUUGACACUCGCUGCCCUGCGUUCUCGAUAUAACCCUACACUGCACACAGAUGCUCCUCAUAUCCCAGCCCCUAAGGGUUGAAGAAAUGUUGAGUUGCCUGAUAAUAGAUCCAUUUCCACUUAGGAAGGAAGGACUUCCUCUGGCAGGAUGGCAGCUUUUCCCAGCCAGCUGUCCCUUUGUGAAUCACGAGGGGAGUACCCACUGAAGGCUGAUAAUGUCUGGGGAAUAGUCACCAAGUUUGAGGCCCUGUGUUAAGCCUUAGUAUUGGUUUUGGCAACAUUGAGACAGAGCAACUGUGUACAGUUGAGGAGACCAAAAAGCCAGAUGGAUUCUAGGACCGUGGGUCUCUCCACAGUGCACGGUGCAUCUGCCCUGUGUUUCUCAGGAAGACAGGUAGAAGGACACUCCUACCUCCUGACUGCUUUUGAGAGAAAUAGGGAAGAGGCCAAAAGAACCGAUUGAACUAAUUUGUUAGAAAUAAAAGUUAAAGGUGGCGAGAGAUGGCUUAGUUGGUAAAAGUGCUUCCUGCCAAGCUUGAGGACCAGAGUUCAAUCCCUGACACCCACAUGGUGAAAGGAGAGAACCAACUCUUCCUGCAAGUUGUCCUCUGACCGCCACAGGUGCGUUGUGCGACACCCAUGUACACACAAUCAGUAACCCAAAAACAUCAUUAAAAUGUAAUACUUAUGGUUGGUGGCAGCCAUAAUCCAAUGAUCCAUCUCACAGCACCCCACCCAACAUUUUUUAAUAGGAAAAAUUAAGAGAACUCAGUUCAAACCAAAUCAAAACGGGGUUCUUAUUAUGUAUGGCAUUAAGUUUUAAAUUAGAAUUGAAAUAGAAAAUAGAAACAGCCCCCACCCCCACCCCAUUCGCUUAUCAAAGAAUGUAUCACACACAGGUAUUUAGACUGCCUCUGGGCUGGGGGUUGGGUGUGGGAAGGUGUGUGUGGUGGGUGUCUGCAGCUGCGAGAAACCACUCACCUGCACUGGAGCUGAGAACCAAGAAGGGAGGCGGGGAGGCAUUCUGAAAACUCACAACCCAAAGCAGUUCCUGGAGUCAAACACCUGUGGAUUUUCAUACUCUAAAUAUAGUGGAAGCUGGCGGUCUUAUCAUUAAGUAAACACUACAACGGGGCAGAGAAGCAAUCUUUACACUGCCCCCCCCCCCCCUUGGGAAAUAGUGCUGGGCUGUGAGUGGUCCACUGGCAGCUUGACACACAGUUGGCCCUGUCACUUCUGCUACUCCAGGUUCCCAUGCACACAGGAGUCCUCUGUGGUUCUUCCCUGGUCUCAGGCACCAGAGGUUAAAUCCUGGUGGACUUCGCACUGUCAUUUCCUGACCCUGUGACCCUUGGCAAGUGUCUUCUUUUCUUCUGCUGUACAAAUGGAGACGCUUCCGCGAAAUGCAAAGAGAGUUGGAGCUUCCAGCCGAUAGAAGACAGGUGCCCAGCCUUGGAAAAGACAUUCCAGGGACCUGAACCAAAACAACAGCAGCAACAACAACAACUAACCCUUGAUGGUGUCAAAGGAAGCAGGUGACCAGAAUCAUCACUCCGAGCUGAUGUCUACACUUGAGAUUAGAGUGACCUUUAAAAGACCGUCCAUAUGGAGUCAAUAAAAACAAACCGACCAUGUCA